GACGAACGCUGGCGGCGUGCCUAAUACAUGCAAGUAGGACGCAGUUGCGAACGGGUGAGUAACGCGUAGGUAACUACCUAUUAGAGGGGGAUAAAUAUUGGAAAAGAUAGCAAAUAACGCAUACUAGUAGAUGGACCUGCGUUGUAUGAGCUAGUAGGUAGGGUAAUGGCCUAACUUGGCAACGAUAAAUAGCCGACCUGAGAGGGUGAUCUGCCACACUUGGACUGGGACACGGCACAGACUCCUACGUGAGGCAGCAGUAGGGAAUCUUCGGCAAUGGGGGGAACCCUGACCGAGCAACGCCGCGUGAGUGAAGAAGGUUUUCGGAUCGUAAAGCUCUGUUGUUAAGGAAGCGGUACUUAACCAGAAAGGGACGGCUAACUACGUGCCAGCCGCCGCGGUAAUUC
rnacentral:rRNA from 1 species